AAAACUCUGAAAAGCAUGCCU
rnacentral:piRNA from 1 species